rnacentral:rRNA from 1 species
GACGAACGCUGGCGGCGUGCUUAACACAUGCAAGUCGAACGGAAAGGCCCUGCUUGCAGGGUGCUCGAGUGGCGAACGGGUGAGUAACACGUGGGUGAUCUGCCCCUUAUUUUGGGAUAAGCCUGGGAAACUGGGUCUAAUACUGGAUAGGACCAUGCUGUAGGUGGUGUGGUGGAAAGAUUAGUUUCGGUAAGGGAUGAGCUCGCGGCCUAUCAGCUUGUUGGUGGGGUAAUGGCCUACCAAGGCGUCGACGGGGAGCCGGCCUGAGAGGGUGGACGGCGACAUUGGGACUGAGAUACGGCCCAGAAUCCUACGGGAGGCAGCAGUGGGGGAUAAUGCACAAUGGUGGCAAGCCUGAUGCAGCGACGCCGCGUGGGGGAUGACGGCCUUCGGGUUGUAAACUCCUUUCAGCCAUGACGAAGCCCUUGUGGUGACGGUAGUGGUAGAAGAAGCACCGGCUAACUACGUG